GACGUAGGGCGCGAGCGUUGUCCGGAUUUAUUGGGCGUAAAGAGCUCGUAGGCGGCUCGUUGCGUCGGCUGUGAAAACCCGCAGCUCAACUGUGGGCUUGCAGCCGAUACGGGCAGGCUGGAGUUCGGUAGGGGAGACUGGAAUUCCUGGUGUAGCGGUGAAAUGCGCAGAUAUCAGGAGGAACACCGGUGGCGAAGGCGGGUCUCUGGGCCGAUACUGACGCUGAGGAGCGAAAGCGUGGGGAGCGAACAGG
rnacentral:rRNA from 1 species